GCCUCCGUGGCCUAAUGGAUAAGGCAUCGGUCUCCUAAACCGGGGAUUGUGGGUUCAAGUCCCACCGGAGGUG
rnacentral:tRNA from 1 species